rnacentral:rRNA from 1 species
GAAUUCGAUUCCUACGGGAGGCAGCAGUGGGGAAUAUUGCACAAUGGGCGAAAGCCUGAUGCAGCAACGCCGCGUGAGUGAAGAAGGCUUUCGGGUCGUAAAACUCUGUCCUAAGGGAAGAAUAAUGACGGUACCUUAGGAGGAAGCCCCGGCUAACUACGUGCCAGCAGCCGCGGUAAUACGUAGGGGGCGAGCGUUAUCCGGAAUCACUGGGCGUAAAGGGUGCGUAGGCGGCCAAAUAAGCCAGAGGUGAAAGGCUACGGCUCAACCGUAGUAAGCCUUUGGAACUGUAUGGCUUGAGUGCAGGAGAGGAGAGUGGAAUUCCUAGUGUAGCGGUGAAAUGCGUAGAUAUUAGGAGGAACACCAGUGGCGAAGGCGACUCUCUGGACUGCAACUGACGCUGAGGCACGAAAGCGUGGGGAGCGAACAGGAUUAGAUACCCUGGUAGUCCACGCCGUAACGAUGAGUGCUAGGUGUCGGGGGUUCACACCCUCGGUGCCGGAGUUAACGCAUUAAGCACUCCCGCCUGGGGAGUACGGUCGCAAGACUGAAACUCAAGGAAUUGACGGA